rnacentral:rRNA from 1 species
CAGUCGCCGCGGUAAUACAGAGGGUGCGAGCGUUAAUCGGAUUUACUGGGCGUAAAGCGUGCGUAGGCGGCGUCUUAAGUCGGAUGUGAAAUCCCUGAGCUUAACUUAGGAAUUGCAUUCGAUACUGGGAAGCUAGAGUAUGGGAGAGGAUGGUAGAAUUCCAGGUGUAGCGGUGAAAUGCGUAGAGAUCUGGAGGAAUACCGAUGGCGAAGGCAGCCAUCUGGCCUAAUACUGACGCUGAGGUACGAAAGCAUGGGGAGCAAACAGGAUUAGAUACCCGGGUAGUCCCUGUCUCUUAUAC